ACAGUCCGCCAGGGGCCGCGGCCCGGGCCCCGCUGGGGUUCCCGCACAGCCCGCGGCUCCGCCCCGAGAGGAUGCGCCCCCGCGCCCGCAUCCUUCCCGCACCCGCCCGCCUGGCCCCUGCCCUCUCCCGGGCCCCUGAGAGCGGCGCCCCUCCCGGCUCGCGGCCGCCCGGCCCGCUUGACAUACCAGAAAUAGCUGCACACAAUUGUACCUUUCCCGGCCAAGAAACCUCCCCCGCUGGGGAGCGCGGCCCGCCGCCCUCACCUGAGCCCCGGCCAGCUGAGCCCGCUACCCGCUCUCCCGCCGCGAUCCGGCCCAGCCGCCAGCUAAAGAAGUCACUUUCAAGAGAUCUGGAGAAGUAAGAUGGCCAAAUAAAAGCCUCUACCAAUCAUCCUCCCCACAGGAACACCAAAUUUAAGAACUAUCUACACAAAAAAGCACCUUCAUAAGAACCAAAAAUCAGAGAGAACAAGGAUAAAGAAGUAUCCAAAUACAAAGAAAAUGUUAUGCAAGUGACCUUUAGAGAUGUUUUAAAGAUGACAAAAUAUUGAUGAAGAUGGGCCAACAAGUGUUACUGUUACCUCUAAUAAAGUUUCAUCACUAGUUUCACCAUGGUUAAUUGGAAAUGGCUUCCGCCCAUCUGUGGAAAACAGACAAACAAUUGAAUGCUUAGCUGUUUUUACAGGAUAAUGUGCUUUCAACUUCCAUUUUCCUCUUCCCCCAGUGAGGCAAGAAAAGUUAAAAGCCAUUUUCAAUAAUAUAUCCUAAAACAAAUGUUUUAAUGUGCUACCAUGAAUAUUUUUUAUUAAAGGUUAUUAGUUAGAACUUUGCUUCCAUAUUUGAAAGCCUAAAUUAUCUUCAUGAACGGAAUUUAUUACAAUGCUGGCUUUCGUUUCCUGAAAAUAAUACGCAAAAUUAUUGUCAGUUUUUUAAAAAUUAUCACCCCAGCUUUUAUCCUUGGAAAUUAAAAAAAUUUCUUUUUUCACUUUAAAUAGGAAGAUCUCAAGUAAGACAGACAUGUUUAAAACAAUGAAAGGGAGCUACACUGUCAUGGCUUAUACAAUACUACUAUUAACUGUGUACUAUCAAUGCAGUAAUAUAGAGGAAUAAUCCAAAUAACCCAGGGUUAUUUUACUGACCACCAAAAUAAGCAAAUUCACAAUCAACUUAAAUAAACUAGUACUUUUUCAAUAUUAUUUUUUAAGAAGUCCAGAAUUAUUUAAACUCAUGCUAACCCAAAGUCAACUGACAAUUAUAUAUCCAAAUCCAUAAUCUCAGAUGUCUUGUAAGUGGCUCUUCAUUAAGUUCAAUCCAUAAAACACAGCCCCUUCUACGAUUCCAUGGUUUCUAACCAUAAUAAAAAUUUCUGAAUAUGCAUCUAGUAAUAGACUUGGUUGUUAGAUUUUUUUUAAAAAAAUGAAUGAAAAUCAACACAUAAAUUCAUCUCCAUAAAAAGUAAUAUUAAUUUCUAUAAAUUAUAUCAUCAGAAUUUGUGAUUCCUAUUUUUGGACUAACAUUGAGAUAAAUAUUCAAAAUCCUAAAGAAACUUAUCCCUAAAUUACAAUGCCUGGGACAUAAUUCCUAAAGUUUCUAAGAACCUUUAGGAAAUAUUUUCCUGUAACUAUAUUACACAUGAACACUUAAUUAUCCAUAUUUCUAUGAACUUAUACUAUCUUUCUAAAUUAUAAUGUAUAUUUCUCAAUAAUAUAUCAUAAAAUGUCUUCUUAAAAUAUCCUUUUGUGGUAAAUGCUUAUUCUUCAAUAGACUAUUCUAUGUUUAUAUGACUAUCACAUUCAUUAUGUGCCACCCCAUUUUGUAUUAUUUUUUAAUGUUUACAUAAAGGCAAAAGUAUAAGUAAACAAUGUAGGCUGUUCCCUCCCUAACCAAAUUAUAAAUUAAUAUAUAUUUUUUCCUUUUGUAUUUUUCUUUCUUCUAUUUAAUUUAGAGACAGGGCCUCACUUAUAUUCCCCAGGCUGAACUUAACCUCCUGCGUUCAAGCAAUCCUCCUGCCUCAGCUUCCCAAGUAGCUGGGACUGCAGGCACAUGCAACAGCACCUGGCUUAAUAUAUGUAUUUUCCUGGUUUCCAUCAUUUCUGUGUGUGUGUCAUUCAUGAGACUAAAGAGCUAAUAAACUCAGUUAUGGCUGGGUGUGGUGGCUCACACCUGUAAUUUAAGAAGAUUGCUUGAGGCCAGGAGUUCAACACCAGCCUGGGCAAUACAGUGAGACCCCACCUUUACAAAGAAUUAAUAAAUUAGCCAGGUAUAGUGGCACAAGUCUGUAGUCCCAGCUGUUUGGGAGGCUGAGGCAGGAGGAUCACUUGAGCCCAGGAGUUCAAGGACGCAGCAAGCUAUGAUCAUGCCACUGCACUCCAGCCUGGGUGACAAAGUGAGAUUCUGUCUCUAAAAAAAUAAAAUAAUAACAUAAUAAAAUAAAAACAAAAAAUGGCAGUGAGCAAUUUUCCUUUGAAUGCAGCUGUUUAAAGUAACAUAUAAUUAAUUUCAAUUAUUAUAGACUAAGAUUGUUAAACAACUGAUCCUGAAAUGUCAAAACCGUACAGUCUAUUUUUAUAAUAGCAGUAUAGAACAAAGAUUAAUUAUGAUUUUUACUGUUAUUCUAAUCCAUGGGCCAAAUCCAGCCCUCAGUGUAUUUUUAAUGCCUCCUUUAAGCUAAGACUGGUUUUUAUGUUUUUAAAAGACAGUAUGUAGCCCACAAAACCUAAAAUAUUUACUACUUGGUCCUUCACAGAAAAAUUUUGCCAAAACAAUAAAAUGUAAAAUUUGCUGUUGUUCCAAACACUACUACCACAAAACUGUCACUUGCCAACAACUUUGCGUGUAAUUUCAGUAAAUGCAUACGCUGCAGAUGAAUCCAUGAGGCUCAGAGACUGUCACACUUACAGGCCCCUUCUAAAAGAGGCAGGAAAAAGCUGCACCUUGUACAUGGGUCAUGUAACCUAAAAACCCCAGUCCAAACGGGCUGUGCCACUUCCAGGCUGGACGGGGAAGAAAAUAGUGGCCUGACUUUUUGGUAGUAACUAACCAAUUCAUUCAGAACUUGUUUUUUGCAUAGUGUGAUCACAAGCCCCCAGAGAAAGGUGACAACAGAGUUGUACAAGAGACAAGCGACAUGACAAACAUCACGAGAUGCUUUUUGGUGCAGAUAACUGAGUAUCAGCUACUGUCAAAUACCCAACAAUGGCCAACGACGUGAAUGAUGGAGCUUAAAAAACAGAGACUAUACAGAAAUAAAAACUGUUUUACUGGUUUUGUUUUUGUUUUGUUUUUGUUUUUGUUUUUUUUGAGACAGAGUCUCGCUCUGUCGCCCAGGCUAGAGUACAGUGGCACAAUCUCAGCUCACUGCAAGCUCUGCCUCCCGGGUUCACGCCAUUCUCCUGCCUCAGCCUCCCGAGCAGCUGGGACUACAGGCACCCACCACCACACCCAGCUAA
rnacentral:lncRNA from 10 species